UGGACAAAUUAUUGUAUUCGACUGUAUUCACGGCGUGAAACAGGGGAUUACACUAUUUUUAAACGGAAGGUGAAUCACUUAACAUAAUAGACUCCU
rnacentral:pre_miRNA from 1 species